UACGGGGGGAGCAAGCGUUGUUCGGAUUUACUGGGCGUAAAGGGCGCGUAGGCGGCCACCGCAAGUCGACUGUGAAAUCUCCGGGCUUAACCCGGAAAGGUCAGCCGAUACUGCGGGGCUAGAGUGCAGAAGGGGCAACUGGAAUUCUCGGUGUAGCGGUGAAAUGCGUAGAUAUCGAGAGGAACACCUGCGGCGAAGGCGGCUCACUGGUCCGGUACUGACGCUGAGGUGCGAAAGCGUGGGGAGCAAACAGG
rnacentral:rRNA from 1 species